rnacentral:rRNA from 1 species
UACGUAGGGUCCGAGCGUUGUCCGGAUUUAUUGGGCGUAAAGAGCUCGUAGGCGGCUUGCUAAGUCAGGUGUGAAACCUCCAGGCUCAACCUGGAGCCGCCACCUGAUACUGGUAUGGCUAGAGUCCGGUAGGGGACCACGGAAUUCCUGGUGUAGCGGUGAAAUGCGCAGAUAUCAGGAGGAACACCGGUGGCGAAGGCGGGUCUCUGGGCCGAUAUUGACGCUGAGGAGCGAAAGCGUGGGGAGCGAACAGG